rnacentral:rRNA from 1 species
GACAGAGGUGCCGAGCGUUAGGCGGAAUCACUGGGCUUAAAGCGUGUGUAGGCGGGUCCGUAAGUACCUUGUGAAAUCCCACGGCUCAACCGUGGAACUGCUUGGUAUACUGCGGGUCUGAGCCACCUAGGGGCAAGCGGAACAAGCGGUGGAGCGGUGAAAUGCGUAGAUAUCGCUUGGAACGCCAAUGGUGAAAACAGCUUGCUGGGGGUGUGC